rnacentral:rRNA from 1 species
UACGUAGGGUGCAAGCGUUGUCCGGAAUUAUUGGGCGUAAAGAGCUCGUAGGCGGUCUGUCGCGUCGGAUGUGAAAAUCCAGGGCUCAACCCUGGACCUGCAUUCGAUACGGGCAGACUAGAGUUCGGUAGGGGAGACUGGAAUUCCUGGUGUAGCGGUGAAAUGCGUAGAUAUCUGGAGGAAUACCGGUGGCGAAGGCGGCAUCCUGGACCGAGAUUGACACUGAUGAGCGAAAGCUAGGGGAGCAAACGGG